UCUAUGAUCAAACAGUUGUCAAGGUAACCUGAAAAGAACAUUUUCUUCUGCCUAUGAUGUAGUUUGCAUAUGCUGGUUAUGACUAUCUAAAUGUAGUUUGAAUGAUAGUAUAUUACUUGAUUUAACUUGUCCUGUGUUUGAAAUGGUUUAGCAUCUUAGCUUUUCUUCACUCCAUUACUUUCAAGUGGUUUAGCAUGGUGCUGAGAGGUAUAACACACACUAUGAACUUAACAAUGUGAAAGCAAUCAUAUUUGUUUAUCAUGUUUUUACUUGUGCUACUGAUUAUUUGUUAUCUUGGAGCUGCUAUUUUGUUUAUUGGUGUGAAUAGCAUUGUAAUUGGUUCUUUUUGAAAAAAUAAAAAUUUUGGUUUAUGUGUGUCUGUACUGAAAUGGUCAGUAAUAUGGAUUCUUUGUUAAAGUGUGUUCCCAUACCGACAGCAUCCUUUGCUUAUAUGGUUUCACUGCAGAAGGUUGCUUUGUACUCAGCUUAUAGACUAGGAAACAUAUGAUAGAGAAAAACUUCGGUGUACAUUAGCAGAGUGCCAUGUUGAGGAGAAAACUAGAAUGGUUGAUGAGGGCAUAAUUUAUUUUAGUUCUCAGAAGUUUUGACUAUAGUUCAGCUUUAGGAGUCCAAGUUGCUUGAAACUGCAGUUUACCAUCUUGCAAACGCCAAUUAAUUAUUGUUAUUGAAGGUUUACUAUUGUUGGUUCAAUUCCUGAAACAAUUUAAAUAAUAAUGAAAAUGGAAGGGAAAGCAAUCAGUAAAUAGAAAAUGAAUGGUAAAUAAAACUUGGGAGAUGUUUGUGCAACUAUCAAUAAAGGGCAUGAGGGUCAAGGAAAAGUGUAUUAGCAUAACCGGGUUGUAAGGAUUGUCAAUUGCUAAGUUAUAUUUAUUUUAUCGUAUUAUUUGUUGCUGCAAUUAUUGAAGUUUUGAAGUGAUGGAAUUUCCUGCUACAUCAGUUGUUCAGACUUUCAUUUCGUGUGGAUGCUACUUGGAUCUUUAUUUUGUAGGACAACACCUAAUAACUUUCCAUUGCAGGCUCUAGAGGGUUUGAUUUACCUUUUCUGUUAUUACACUCUUGAAUUGACUACAUUGAUGAGUGUACAUGCUUUGACUGUUAUCUUUGUUAUCUACCCUAAUAAAUAAUGAAACUGUUCACAUCAAUGAGUAGUUCUAUUGGAGUUUGGCAGAGACUAUAUUCAUUGGUUUUUACAAUAUUUUCUUUUAUUUGUCAUUUUUUUGACAUGCAAACUGAAUUGCAUUAAUAUGUUAUUUGUCAUUAAGUUGUUGAUUUUGCUGGCUAUAUUAAUUAAUAGAUCUUAUCAGUUUGUUGAUUUAAAUUCUUUGCUCGGUGCAGAAGGAAUUGAUACGAACUGUUGAUCUUGGGCCUUUCAAGCAUG
rnacentral:misc_RNA from 1 species